GAGGGCAUAGCUCAGUGGUAGAGUACAUGCUUAGCAUACACCCGAGGUCCUGGGUUCAAUCCCCAGCACCCCCA
rnacentral:tRNA from 1 species